GUCUACAUCCAUACCACCCUAAACAUGCCUGAUAUCGCCAGCUAAGCAGGGUCCAGCCUGGUUAGUACUUGGAUGGGAGGCCGCCUGGGAAUACCGGGCGCUGUAGGCU
ensembl:rRNA 5S_rRNA 5S ribosomal RNA